GGACUCUGCUGCGGGUGGUGGGGUGCCUUUUCUCCUCAGCCAGGGCUGGAGGCCAAGAUCAGCUCUUGAGCAUGACUGUCAGGGCUGUCACGAGUCGAACAGCCUUGUUUUCCUCCGUGAGACUUUU